CCUACGGGUGGCAGCAGUGGGGAAUAUUGGGCAAUGGAGGAAACUCUGACCCAGCAACGCCGCGUGAAUGAUGAAGGUCUUCGGAUUGUAAAGUUCUUUUCGAAGGGAAGAAGAAAGUGACGGAAGCGAAGGAAUAAGCAUGGGCUCACUACGGGCCAGCAGCCGCGGUAAGACGUAGGAGGCAAGCGUUAGCCGGAAUGACUGGGUGUAAAGGGGGCGUAGGUGGUUGGAGUAGUUGGUAGCGUAACUCCGUGGCUCACCCUCGGCAGUACUACCAAAACUGUCGGACUUGAGUGCAGGAGGGGCAACUGGAAUUCCUUGUGUAGCGGUGUAAUGCGUAGAUAUUAG
rnacentral:rRNA from 1 species